UAAGUUAUUAAGGGCGCACGGUGGAUGCCUUGGCACUAGAAGCCGAUGAAGGACGUUACUAACGACGAUAUGCUUUGGGGAGCUGUAAGUAAGCUUUGAUCCAGAGAUUUCCGAAUGGGGAAACCCAGCAUGAGUUAUGUCAUGUUAUCGAUAUGUGAAUACAUAGCAUAUCAGAAGGCACACCCGGAGAACUGAAACAUCUUAGUACCCGGAGGAAGAGAAAGAAAAUUCGAUUCCCUUAGUAGCGGCGAGCGAAACGGGAAGAGCCCAAACCAACAAGCUUGCUUGUUGGGGUUGUAGGACACUCUAUACGGAGUUACAAAGGACGACAUUAGACGAAUCAUCUGGAAAGAUGAAUCAAAGAAGGUAAUAAUCCUGUAGUCGAAAAUGUUGUCUCUCUUGAGUGGAUCCUGAGUACGACGGAGCACGUGAAAUUCCGUCGGAAUCUGGGAGGACCAUCUCCUAAGGCUAAAUACUCUCUAGUGACCGAUAGUGAACCAGUACCGUGAGGGAAAGGUGAAAAGCACCCCGGAAGGGGAGUGAAAUAGAACCUGAAACCGUGUGCUUACAAGUAGUCAGAGCCCGUUAAUGGGUGAUGGCGUGCCUUUUGUAGAAUGAACCGGCGAGUUACGAUUUGAUGCAAGGUUAAGCAGUAAAUGUGGAGCCGUAGCGAAAGCGAGUCUGAAUAGGGCGUUUAGUAUUUGGUCGUAGACCCGAAACCAGGUGAUCUACCCUUGGUCAGGUUGAAGUUCAGGUAACACUGAAUGGAGGACCGAACCGACUUACGUUGAAAAGUGAGCGGAUGAACUGAGGGUAGCGGAGAAAUUCCAAUCGAACCUGGAGAUAGCUGGUUCUCUCCGAAAUAGCUUUAGGGCUAGCCUCAAGUGAUGAUUAUUGGAGGUAGAGCACUGUUUGGACGAGGGGCCCCUUCUCGGGUUACCGAAUUCAGACAAACUCCGAAUGCCAAUUAAUUUAACUUGGGAGUCAGAACAUGGGUGAUAAGGUCCGUGUUCGAAAGGGAACAGCCCAGACCACCAGCUAAGGUCCCAAAAUAUAUGUUAAGUGGAAAAGGAUGUGGCGUUGCCCAGACAACUAGGAUGUUGGCUUAGAAGCAGCCAUCAUUUAAAGAGUGCGUAAUAGCUCACUAGUCGAGUGACACUGCGCCGAAAAUGUACCGGGGCUAAACAUAUUACCGAAGCUGUGGAUUGUCCUUUGGACAAUGGUAGGAGAGCGUUCUAAGGGCGUUGAAGCAUGAUCGUAAGGACAUGUGGAGCGCUUAGAAGUGAGAAUGCCGGUGUGAGUAGCGAAAGACGGGUGAGAAUCCCGUCCACCGAUUGACUAAGGUUUCCAGAGGAAGGCUCGUCCGCUCUGGGUUAGUCGGGUCCUAAGCUGAGGCCGACAGGCGUAGGCGAUGGAUAACAGGUUGAUAUUCCUGUACCACCUAUAAUCGUUUUAAUCGAUGGGGGGACGCAGUAGGAUAGGCGAAGCGUGCGAUUGGAUUGCACGUCUAAGCAGUAAGGCUGAGUAUUAGGCAAAUCCGGUACUCAUUAAGGCUGAGCUGUGAUGGGGAGAAGACAUUGUGUCUUCGAGUCGUUGAUUUCACACUGCCGAGAAAAGCCUCUAGAUAGAAAAUAGGUGCCCGUACCGCAAACCGACACAGGUAGUCAAGAUGAGAAUUCUAAGGUGAGCGAGCGAACUCUCGUUAAGGAACUCGGCAAAAUGACCCCGUAACUUCGGGAGAAGGGGUGCUCUUUAGGGUUAACGCCCAGAAGAGCCGCAGUGAAUAGGCCCAAGCGACUGUUUAUCAAAAACACAGGUCUCUGCUAAACCGUAAGGUGAUGUAUAGGGGCUGACGCCUGCCCGGUGCUGGAAGGUUAAGAGGAGUGGUUAGCUUCUGCGAAGCUACGAAUCGAAGCCCCAGUAAACGGCGGCCGUAACUAUAACGGUCCUAAGGUAGCGAAAUUCCUUGUCGGGUAAGUUCCGACCCGCACGAAAGGCGUAACGAUUUGGGCACUGUCUCAACGAGAGACUCGGUGAAAUCAUAGUACCUGUGAAGAUGCAGGUUACCCGCGACAGGACGGAAAGACCCCGUGGAGCUUUACUGUAGCCUGAUAUUGAAAUUCGGCACAGCUUGUACAGGAUAGGUAGGAGCCUUUGAAACGUGAGCGCUAGCUUACGUGGAGGCGCUGGUGGGAUACUACCCUAGCUGUGUUGGCUUUCUAACCCGCACCACUUAUCGUGGUGGGAGACAGUGUCAGGCGGGCAGUUUGACUGGGGCGGUCGCCUCCUAAAAGGUAACGGAGGCGCUCAAAGGUUCCCUCAGAAUGGUUGGAAAUCAUUCAUAGAGUGUAAAGGCAUAAGGGAGCUUGACUGCGAGACCUACAAGUCGAGCAGGGUCGAAAGACGGACUUAGUGAUCCGGUGGUUCCGCAUGGAAGGGCCAUCGCUCAACGGAUAAAAGCUACCCCGGGGAUAACAGGCUUAUCUCCCCCAAGAGUUCACAUCGACGGGGAGGUUUGGCACCUCGAUGUCGGCUCAUCGCAUCCUGGGGCUGUAGUCGGUCCCAAGGGUUGGGCUGUUCGCCCAUUAAAGCGGUACGCGAGCUGGGUUCAGAACGUCGUGAGACAGUUCGGUCCCUAUCCGUCGUGGGCGUAGGAAAUUUGAGAGGAGCUGUCCUUAGUACGAGAGGACCGGGAUGGACAUACCUCUGGUGUACCAGUUGUCGUGCCAACGGCAUAGCUGGGUAGCUAUGUGUGGACGGGAUAAGUGCUGAAAGCAUCUAAGCAUGAAGCCCCCCUCAAGAUGAGAUUUCCCAACUUCGGUUAUAAGAUCCCUCAAAGAUGAUGAGGUUAAUAGGUUCGAGGUGGAAGCAUGGUGACAUGUGGAGCUGACGAAUACUAAUCGAUCGAAGACUUAAUCA
rnacentral:rRNA from 1 species